AAAUGGUUCCGUUCCGUGUACAACAAUAUAUGUGCUCCUGCCUUUGUUUCGUUUUUCCUAUAUUGCCCCUUUCCCUUUUCUCUUACCGCAUCAAACCCUAAAAAUUUCACUCCAUCCGCACUUUCUCUAAGCCUGGCUCUCCUCUCAAUCGUUACUCCUCACGCAAGAUGAGUCGCUCUAGCAGAACUCUCUAUGUUGGUAACCUUCCCGGUGAUAUUCGUGAGCGCGAAGUGGAAGAUUUAUUUUACAAGUAUGGAACAAUAGUGCAUAUUGAUCUGAAAAUCCCACCGAGGCCUCCUGGUUAUGCUUUUGUUGAGUUUGAAGAGGCGCGCGAUGCUGAAGAUGCCAUUCGAGGGCGUGAUGGCUAUGAUUUUGAUGGACAUCGCUUACGGGUUGAGCUUGCACAUGGUGGGCGUGGCCACUCUUCAUCUACAGAUCGUCAUGGUGGUAGUAGGGGUCCCCGUGGUGGAGUGUCCAGGCGCUCAGAGUAUAGAGUUCUAGUCACUGGCUUGCCUCAUUCUGCUUCAUGGCAAGAUCUCAAGGAUCAUAUGCGCCGUGCUGGGGAUGUUUGCUUCUCCCAAGUUUUCCAUGAGGGGAGUGGGAAGACGGGGAUAGUGGACUAUACAAAUUAUGAUGACAUGAAAUAUGCUAUCAAGAAGCUUGACGACUCUGAGUUUCGUAAUGCUUUCUCUCGGGCUAGAAUUCAUGUGAAGGAAUAUGAUUCAAGCCGCUCUAGAAGCCGCAGCCGUAGCCGGAGCCCUUCUUACUCAAAAGGAAGGAGCAAUGGUCGAAACAGGAGGAGUCUGAGUAACAGUCGGAGCAGGAGCAGGAGCAUCUCACCCAAAGGUAACUCAUCACGCCGCUCAAGAUCUCGUUCAAAGUCUGUAUCUUCACGGUCUCGUUCUGGAUCACGAGCGCGCUCUGUAUCAAGAUACGGAUAUUUGCGCGAUCUGGGGAUUGCAUAUUAGGAUCUUGUUGGGUGAUAUUGGUUCAGUUGGCUACAACUCUUUUGGUUGUGGAGAUUGGGAACAUGAAGAUCAUGGAUUACUAUGGUGAAGCUGGACAGUGAACUAAUUGGCAUUUGAAUAACGGAACACCUUUUUGCAGUGGAAACGAUUUAACUAUCUCCAACGGUGUACUCUACCAAACCAUACCAUCAGUGUUUAAUGAUUCUUUUGGUUUCGUUUGCGUAUGGGGUCAUUCACAGCAUGUUAUUUAGCUUUACAUCAAGGGUUUGUUUCUUUUUUGGUUAGGUUGCUUGCUUAGGUGAAAUUUGCGUUUUCCCCCUUUUAUUUGUUUUUUCUGGGCUCGUCUUUGCUAAAUGUUUGUGAGUUUCCUCUUAUCCAUUUUGGUCAUGGUCACUCUGACGUGGAAGUGGCAUCAAGGCUCUUGGAUCAAAGUUGUUAAGAGGCACUAGUGGGUAUUAAACUGGGUUGUUUCUGGAACUUUUGCAGAUCUCCAUCAAGAUCCACAUCCCAAAAACCAUCUCGUGAGAAACGUGUGAGCAAGAGUCCAAAAAGACGCAGCCCGAGCAGAAGCCGGAGCAAGAGCCCAAGCCAGAGUCGGAGCAGGAGUCUUUCCAGGUGAAAAAUGCCUUAACUGGUGAGCAACAAUGCUGUGACUCUUGGUUACCAGCUUUUGCUGGAAGGAAAGGGAACUACACUAUGCUACAGCUUAUAGUUAAACUGCUGGACUUGUUGGUUGAGUAUGCUGUGGUGUCUGGAGAUUAUUUUCGUAUGUUUAAUUCCUUAUGAAAGACUUCAGUAAUCUUAAAAAUUGCAGUCCUGUAACUGUAUUGUCUACAAGAUUUUCUAGGGUUUUAACUGCUGGUCACCUCCGUUCUGUAUUUACCUUCAGAUCUCAUUUCCAUAAGUAUAUGCCUAUCUAUCUGUUUGUAGUGUUUUUCUUUCA